UCCUCCGUCGUUCCAGUCGCCCGGAGUGACCUGUUUACCUUGGAAACUUAGACGUGACCCAAGCAGGCGAGCCUGCCGCGCGCUAGGGGAUUGCGGGGCGCGCUUCGGCUGGGAACCGGGGGGACUCGGAGCUCGGAGCUGCGGGGGACACGUUGGGUGACCUCAAGGUGAACAUUGUAUUCAGGGGGUGCACGCGUGUCUCUCUCCCUGUAGAAGCGACCACUUGGGGAUUGAUUUUUAACUAGCAGGAGGCGGUGAGCUGAGAUGACUUAAAGCCAGAAAGUUUGUCACGAUAUUUUGGGGGUGACCUGAAAGAACUUAGUGAAAUAGUCAAAGCCGGUGACAGAAAUACAGUUUAAGAAGGAAUUUCGAAACGCGCUGGUAGGAUUUGCAUAAUACUUGCCAUAGGCGCACGCCGUGGGGCCCCCUGGGCUCCUAGGGGGUAAAUACUGUAAGCACACAAACGCUUCGUGUAGAGAGAGGGGAAGCCUGUAAACACCUACGUGCAAAGCUUGAUAUCGGUUGGUAUGCAAGAAUUUUUGUGUAUAUUGAACAUUUCGUGUGGGCAAAGAGCUAGAAAACGUCUAUACCGUUUGGAUUAUUAGCAGCGUUCCAGGCAACGAUUGACAUUGAACAUUGAACUCCUCCUUUCGGUGGUGGCUAAAUGUAAUAUUAUUCGUGUGACUCAUCAGAGUGUGGAAUCCUUGACAUUACGGGCUAAUGAAUGGUUAAUUUGGUUUGGAGUUUAGAGAAGGGAGGACUGUAGGUUUUUCUGUCCUUGAUGCCUGAUGGAAAAUGCGGUGUAAAGGGCUCUCCAGUGUUGGUGAAGGAUCUUUGGAGGAGCUCAGAGGGGAGGAUCAUUUGAGAGGAAUGAAAGUGACUCCCUGACGGCCACUGAUUGCACAUUGACUUCUUCUAAAGGAGACCCUUGACAAGUUGGAAAACAUCUCCUCACUAAGGGAACCGUUCCAGUGGCUACUGCUUUAUUAAUGCCUUUGGACAGAUUUGAGAAGGGAAGCUCUCUAUAGGCUCUUCUUUUAAUUCCAGAGAAAGCAUGUCUCUAGAAAGGUUCAAUUGCCAUAAUGAUGCUCUCCGGAAAUAAUUUGUCUUUUUGAGUGUGUGUUUGAAUACAUGUAAAUCACCAAGGUAGUUCAAGGUUUUAAUAAAAUUUUACUUACCAGUGGGAUAUGAAAUUGAAAAUACUAUGGAUGGUUAAUUCUGUUUGCAAAUGGAGAGGCAGAGGUGUUUUCCCAAUAAAUCUUAAGUCUCUGUUUAUGUGGAUUUUUCUAAAGCCAAAUAUUACUGGGGAUUAAGAGGACUCUAAAGAAGGUAUUAAUGCUUAUAGUGUUUCUGGCAGGUGGAUGUGUGAAUACUUAUAGACAUGUCACUGUGAAUAAUUCCUGUGCACCUUUAGAGAACUGGUAUCCAAAAUUUGAACCACAUUAUGAUGAAGCCUCAUCAUUGCUUUGAAGAAGGCAGGAAGGACCAGAUAAGCUUGGCAAUAUACAGGACCUUGAUGUUGAGAAAAACGUACGACUAAAUCUUUGUAUUUAUUGCAUGGUGAUGUCCUGGUGUGUAUUUUAAAUAGGAAUUGAGUCAAGCUCUCAUUGCGAUUUAGCUCUUGGUCUAAUGUGUUGUUGAGAUGAGGCUGUCCGCACUUGUCUGUGCAACCUUCCUUUCUACUUGUGAGUAAACAAGGAAGUGCUCUGAGAUGACUGGCUUGAAAGUUUUAAGAUGAUGGGGAUUUAUUUAAGAACAAACGCCUAGGUAGCUCAGUUGGUUAAGCGGCCGACCUCUUAGUUUCCACUCAGGUCAUGAUCUCAGAAUUAUGAGAUGGAGCCCUCGGUAGGGCUCCACAUUCAGCAGGGAGUCGGCUUGAAGAUUCUCUCCCUCCGCCCCUCCCCUGACUCACAGUCUCUAAUUCAAUCAAUCAGUCAAUCCUAAAAUAAGAACAGACUGAAAGAAUAAAAAUGGAGCCUGAUUCUGGUAUAGUUUGGUCCCUGGAAGGUCUGCAAGUAUAGUGUUAAAUGGCCAGCUGAAUGCGCUUCAGCUUUUGAGAUUUUCUUCUCUUGAUGUCCUAAGAGAGAACUUAGCAUAGAGCCCCUGGCUAACAGGUAUCCCAAAGGAGUUGACAUCAUUCACUUUGGGUACUUACUUCCCGUCCAGACAAACUUCUAACCACUCAACAGAGGGAAUUUAGAGGCUGCAUUGGAUCAUCUGGAGUGAAUCCCAUCUCUGAGCCAUUUCCUCAUCUGUGAAAUGGCCAUCAUGAGACUUCCUGAUGUGGCUGUGAGAAGCAAAUGGAAUAAUUUAUAUGGAAUGUCGAGUGUGCAGUCAGCACAUCGUGAGCAGUCCUACAAGGCAAAAUGUGUUGAGUUAAAUGUCAUUUCCUGGGGGCUAUGCAGGGGUUGCUGUGUACUGACAGUAGCAUUGAAUGCUGAGGUAAAUGGGUCAUCCUCCUGUCCUGGUACACUUAGUAUACACCAGACUCCUAGUAGUUAGUGUCCUUUGGGAGCAAGAGUUUCACCCCGUCAAACCUGCAUAUCCUCCACUUUAGACAGGCCUUUGGCCUAUCUGGGUUAAAGAGAUUUCCUGUGGGUGGUUUUUGGAAAUAAUGAUGAGAUAGUAAGGGGAGGGAGAGAUGACUGAGUGAAAUUCCAAAAUAGAAUGUAAACAUGCAAUUGGCUAGUUUCUAUUAAUGCCAUUAGAAGUAUGGUCCUCGUAAAAUGAUAAUAAUUCCUAGUUUCCCCGAGGACAGUUACAUAUUUUGCAGUCUGUGUAUUCGGACUUUGGAGAUGAAGCAGCAAUGACAUUCCUUCAGCUUUUCAAUCUUCAGCAUUGCUUAGGCACCUAAGGUACCAUGCUAAACCUUCAGAAUACAAUAGCAAGAAAAACAGGCCUCACCUCUCAUAAAAUACAUGUCUGCUGGUAAUAAGUAAGUAAAUCUGUAAUUAUCCUUGCGCUCAGUGGGAGGCAGGCAAGAUGUCGAGGGCAGAAACAGGGAAUUUGACCUGUGAUGGGAGGGAUGUUAAGAAUGCUUGCUUCAGGCAGUGAUGUUGGGGUUAUAAAGCAUGGUCCUUUCUUGGGGAAGAAAGAACCUUUGAUAUGUAAGGCUGAGGCCCUGCAGAGACUCUGCAUGUGCAGGUAUACUGUAGGGGCCGGCCAAAGAGAACACAGGUAUCUUCAAAGAAGGGGCAAUGUUGUCAGUGAGGCAGGGACAGUAGGCCCAGCCUGUGAGACACAUUUUCUUUUCUUUUAUAUUAAAGAUUACAGUGUUAGUAGAACUCUUGUUUUGUGUAAACAACUUACUUUAGGCUUUCAGAGGACUAUUAAAUUAUAAAAAAGAUAUUUACAAUCAUUUUGUAAAGUCGAUCAGAACCUAAACCAAUAUUUACCAUAACUGACUCAUUUGUCAGCUCUUUGCAUUACUCAUCAUCCGACUUUAAAACCAUUGGGAUCAAUUUUCUUUUUAAAAAUCUAAUAGAUCUUAGUUUAAUAUACAUAUUUUACAUGUUUCUAGCUCUCCUGUAUACAUGUUUGCAAAUCUAUUUGUUCUAUACAUGUACAGAGCAGAGCGGGAAAUACACAAAAUAUGCCUAUUUAUCCAGUUUGAAUCUAUAUAUCUAUUCAGGAGCUGUAGGGACUGAUUCACUUGUAUUUCACCCCUGGAAAGCCCUCCUGAGUCUGUGUGUGAGGAGCCUGAGCCCAGCUCUGAGGAAAUGUGACAUGGGCCUGCGGGGUGGCGGCAGGAAGCAGCAUGCAUCCUCGAUGGGUUGCUCUCCCGCACCAUCCAGGCAAACUCAGUGAAGGAUUUGGUAUCUGAUUCUUUUCCCCAUAUGCAUGGUUUUAUUCACUGUUAUUACCUAUUCCCUUCUUUUUCCUUCCUCUAUCCUUUGUCAUUUUUUCCUUUAUGUUUCUUUCUCUCUCUAGGGGUCCCCAUAAUUAGUUCUCAGCCUUUAUAAUUAUGCUUUGGCUCUAACCUCAGUCCGUAGGGUGUUGGCCUCAUUUUGGGUAGUUCUGGACGGCAUGGCCCUUGACCUUUCUCCUGUUCUUCAUGGAUAACCGCAGAUGUCAGAGGGAUACAAGCUCUUUCCUUCUUGCAGUUAUCCCCAGGCAUCGGACCUGCUGUUUUGUGCACUGAAUGCCCUCAUCAGUCCCUUCUUCCCUGUACCUGGAGGCGGUGGCGAAUAGAAACUACCCUAACUACUGUAAGCAGAAAGGGACUUCAUAUGGGAAUUGGGUGCUCGUAGGAAGGUUGGAAGAAAAGGUUGCCACUGAAAGGAGAGAAAAGGGCUGAGGCUGAGAUUGAGGGAUGACACCCAGACAGCACAGCUGAACUGGGCCCCCAGGGCUGUUGCCAUCAUUGCCACCACGUGGAGGUUGGGAAUCAGGGCCACCACUGGAGCUGCUGACAAUCAAGAGCACAGUGAUCAGAGAAGCUGCUACGAAGUGCCACUCCACCCAGGAAGCCAGUGACUGAACACAGCUACCAACAACAGAAACAAAUUUGCAAACAUAUAUUUUUUAUACAUCCUCUUCCUCCCUUCUCACCCAGCUCAUCAGCAGAAGCUCAUCUGUGCCCAGGCUCUUGCUGCAAGGAAUUCUGGGAAAUGUAGUUUACACCUUUCCAGCCUCCCAGAUGGAGGAUUUCACCCUUGGAGGAGACUGGAAUGAAUGCGGAGUGACACCCCGUCACGUCUUGCACAUAUUUAAAAUGUAUUUCAUCAGAGCCUUAGGUGGCAUAUUUCAUUCUAAGCAGGUAGGUGAUAUAUUGUAAGAAUCCAAAAAGGAUCUAGUUGCUAACCAAUUUCCAUUUCAAACAGAUGGAUAUUAUAGUCAUUAUAGUCGAAAUUGCUGGAAAAAGCAUCAGGCAAAUAAAUAACUAAAAAUUACCAAGCACCUGCCUCGGCAUGUGGUUCUGCUUGAAUGUGAAAUAAUAUUCCUUUGUUUCGGUUUAGUCAUCAAAGUCAAAUACCAGGAGAAUUGAUACCUAAAAAAGUCCUUCCCACCAAAGUCCCAGACAGCCUACGUUUAAUGCAUAGUGCUACAAAGGGAGAAUGCGGUGUCUCAUAAGAGAAAUAGCUCCUGGUGGGCUGGCUCUUUCAUUUGAUGCAUUAUCUAUGUAGCUGUGUUUGUACCGAAUUUUUCUUAAUUCUAUAACUUGAAUGGUGUUUUUUUCUUUUUCUUUUCUUUUUUUUUUUUUUUUUAAGGAUUACAAAGUUAGAAAUGACCUGUUAUUUGGAGAUUAGAAUUGGAGUAUUGACUCUAAUCACAUAUUUCAUACCCCAGUGCUUGUUAGAUUCUGUGUUUGUUUGUUUUUGCUAACCAUUAAAGUAAAUGUGGUUGAAUCUUUGCUAUCGCUGUGUAAUAAAUUAUCAUUUAUCGGCAGUCAGAAAUUCCAUUAGCACAUCUAGGAAUGAAUCUUGCGUAUUGAAUGAAGCCAUUUUAUAUUUGCCUCUGAUAUUUGGAGCUAGAAAAUGAGAGCAGAGUAGCUGAAACAAAUGGCGUAACUCAGUGAAUUUGUCAUUCUAUGACGUAUACCUAUUUUUAAUUAAUUUUUUCAUCUCAAAAGGCAACACUCCAUUGAGAUACCGUCUCUAGGAGGUGAUGAAAGCAGUUUAAAUGCAGAAUUACAAAUGCUUCCUGGGGUCAACCACACUAUAAUAUGAAUAUGUUCUUCCAAGUCCAGUGGUGACACCAAGAGUUUAGCCCCUCCACUCAAGCCACCAAAACAGUGCUCUUGCUCUGUAAAUGUGGCUUCAAGACCAAUCCACUGUCUUCCAUCCUGAGCCCCCACCUAAGCCCCACUUACAGUAUAUUCUCAGGAGGGAACUGUUUGAAUCUAAUAUUACACGGUUUUCAUUCAUUUCAUUUCAUUUACAUUAUUCGAUUAAUUGUAAGGGAAAGUAAGUAGCAUUAAUCUAUGUUAUGGUAACACAUUAUGAUCUCUGAUUCCCCCUUCCCACAGUUUAUCUCUUUCAUUCAUUUUUGAGUAAACAUGCAAAAGAGAAACCUGGAUUUGCCUCCCACUGGAUGAUAAGGAGGAUGAGUUCUUAUCUUUGGCUAUAUGGAGCUUAGUUGCAGAUUAAGCUGUAGGACACAAUUCCUU
rnacentral:lncRNA from 1 species